GAAACGAGUGGUUAGCUCAGCUGGUAGAGCGCUAGCAGCAAUGCUAGAGGACACGGGUUCGAGUCCCGUACCGUUUCU
rnacentral:tRNA from 1 species